rnacentral:rRNA from 1 species
AUGUACAGCGAAUUCACUCAGUCUAUGUCACACGACAUCCAUCCCAUAGGUCAUGAUAGUCACAAGACUACCCUGCAGAUGGAUGUUGCAACCAGUGGCCAUGAUGAGGCUUAUGCCUGCGUGGAGGUGCAGUGCCGAAUGCUGAGAGAAAAUGUUACCCACCCGGCUACAAGGAUAACUGGGAGGAGGAAGAACCGAGCCACAUGGGUAACUCGAAUGGAAAAAAGUCAGUGGCGCCACCAUCCAUUUUCUCAUGCCUCCCCUUCUACAGAUACACAACCACUGCCCUUGCUGCUUCUCAACUCCACCUUUGUCCUUGGCACCAUCGGCAUUGAUGCAGUCAUCCAUCUGCAUGCCGCAUCAGCGAAGAAGUAG